GUGACGCACACGCGGGGCACGCCGCGGGAGCGGGGGAGGGGUGAUCGCUAUAUCGGUUGAAAUUAGCCAUUGAACACUCCAAGAAUACAAAUACAAUCCAUUGAACUUUCUUUUCUAGAAAAGGCCUCUAUGCACAUCAUCGCAACAUCGAUUGAUGAACUGAAAAGGUAAAAUUUUGUGCUUUAGCUAGUACCUGAACUGAAGCAUUGAAGCAGUAGGAGAGAAUGACACAUAUGAACUGAAUCACCCCCGAAAAAAAAAUAGCUGAAUCACCGUUGCUCUGUUCUGAACAGUUUGGUUUAGACAGGAUUUUGCCGCCAAGCAGCGAACGAAAGCCGCCAUUACAACCUUGCUUAGAAGAGGAGGACACAGGGAGCGAGAAGGGGCGACCGCAAGGCUAGGGUUCCUCUGCCGCCGCCACUUCAACCCACCGUGCCUAUCUCCGCUGAGCUACACCCGCGACAGCGUCGGACGACGAUCCCAGUAAAAUCGCCUGCCAUUUCCCCUCCUCACCUUUCUUGUAGAAAUCCCACCACUAAAUCUUCCAAUGGAUGGCUCGCUCUUAAAGGAUCAGCAUGAAUCUGUUCGCAAGUCCACCGUCCGGAUCUCCUUCAAGUGGCGAAAUCCUCACAGCAAGGGAACACGAGGGGGAUCGAAGCCAGUGACUGUCGUCCUCCCCGGCACCAUCGUCUCCAUCAAGGACGACGGAUCCUGCGUCGUCAUCGCGGAUCCCACAUUCUUCCGUCAGAAGAACUGCCCUUUCGUCGUGAAUCUGCCGAUUGCUGGGGGAUACGAUGAUGUGCCAGUGGCCCCAUCUAAGAAGUUCUUGGAACAAGAAUUUUGCACAUUGGUUCUUCAGGUGCAAGCAAAUGAUUUCGUACAGCCGGUCACAUUGGAGACUGGACAUGUUCGAAUAUCGGAGGAGGUGUAUGCUUUUAUGUUCCCGCAGAGGGAUUUUUUCACGCCAACAGCUUACUGUUGAGGAUCCAUCGUCCAUGGAGAAGAAGGCCAAUGGGGCAAUCUUAGUAUCGGUAUUCCUUCUCAUUCAUACGGACAUUUUGGAUCGCCUAUAUUCAACAACAGUGGUCAUCUUGUCGGGAUAUCUCAUGAAACCAUGGAGGCUUGGUCUGUGAACUUCCUACAGCAAACUGUGUUUAAGGGACCAGAGAUCAGCAGUGUACUGGGUAGAGUUUCCUAUGUACUGAACGGAAACCCAAUUCCCCGCGAAGUCCCAAUUCUGCCUGAAGGACCAGUCCUGCCCGUCUAGGAGCAGCAGGCUUGUAGGAGAUAGCACCUCAUGCCUUCACCUCAACAGCAGAUGGAAAAUAUCAACACCCUCAGGCAGCUGCACACACGGUGGAGUUGUUGACUGUUGUUGCAGCCUAGUGUAGUUUUCAGUUUAGUUUCUAUUAUUAAACUACUAUCUCACUUGUUAUCGCAGCCUAGUGUGCUUGAUGAUUUAGUUUCUGUCGUUGAACUGCCAUGACUUAUUUGCAGCCUAGCGUAGUUGUCGAUUUAUUCUCUUUGUUGAAAUGUAAUCUGAUUUGCUGUGGUAGCUAGCCUAAUGAACUUUUUGAUUUAGUUUCUGUUGCUGGAAUUAUCAUGUGACUUGAUUGGCUUUUGUCCUUGGAGCCUUGGAGGAACCAUUCAUGUUAUGAACUUAUGAUUGA